rnacentral:rRNA from 1 species
UACGGGGGGGGGCAAGCGUUGUUCGGAAUUACUGGGCGUAAAGGGCUCGUAGGCGGCCAACUAAGUCAGACGUGAAAUCCCCAGGCUCAACCUGGGAACUGCGUCUGAUACUGGAUGGCUUGAAUCCGGGAGAGGGAUGCAGAAUUCCAGGUGUAGCGGUGAAAUGCGUAGAUAUCUGGAGGAACACCGGUGGCGAAGGCGGCAUCCUGGACCGGUAUUGACGCUGAGGCGCGAAAGCUAGGGGAGCAAACGGG